UACGUAGGCAGCGAGCGUUGUUCGGAGUUACUGGGCGUAAAGGGUGCGUAGGCGGUUUUCCAAGUUUGGUGUGAAAUCUCCCGGCUCAACUGGGAGGGUGCGCCGAAAACUGGGGGACUGGAGUACCGGAGAGGUAAGCGGAAUUCCUGGUGUAGCGGUGAAAUGCGUAGAGAUCAGGAGGAACACCUGUGGUGUAGACAGCUUACUGGACGGUCACUGACGCUGAGGCACGAAAGCGUGGGUAGCAAACAGG
rnacentral:rRNA from 1 species